rnacentral:rRNA from 1 species
UACGGGAGGCAGCAGUGAGGAAUAUUGGUCAAUGGGCGAGAGCCUGAACCAGCCAAGUAGCGUGCAGGAAGACGGCCCUAUGGGUUGUAAACUGCUUUUAUACCAGGGAUAAAGUGNGCCACGUGUGNUGUAUUGCAGGUACUGUAUGAAUAAGGACCGGCUAAUUCCGUGCCAGCAGCCGCGGUAAU